rnacentral:rRNA from 1 species
UAGGGAAUCUUCGGCAAUGGGGGGAACCCUGACCGAGCAACGCCGCGUGAGUGAAGAAGGUUUUCGGAUCGUAAAGCUCUGUUGUUAAGGAAGAACGAGUGUGAGAAUGGAAAGUUCAUACUGUGACGGUACUUAACCAGAAAGGGACGGCUAACUACGUGCCAGCAGCCGCGGUAAUACGUAGGUCCCGAGCGUUGUCCGGAUUUAUUGGGCGUAAAGCGAGCGCAGGCGGUUAGAUAAGUCUGAAGUUAAAGGCAGUGGCUCAACCAUUGUAGGCUUUGGAAACUGGUUGACUUGAGUGCAGAAGGGGAGAGUGGAAUUCCAUGUGUAGCGGUGAAAUGCGUAGAUAUAUGGAGGAACACCGGUGGCGAAAGCGGCUCUCUGGUCUGUAACUGACGCUGAGGCUCGAAAGCGUGGGGAGCGAACAGG